rnacentral:snoRNA from 1 species
CGUCGAUGAUGAACAUAGUGAUAAACUACCGAGUCAAAGGAAAGCAGGAGCUCUCUAUCUGGAUCAUUAAGAGAGUAAUAGAGUUGUAAAACAGAUCGUAUUAAGUUGGUGAGGAGCGUGGAAUCAUCCAUAGAGUUUUAGCUCACCAUGAGAGCAGGAGUGAAACCAUUUGAUCAUUUUAAAUAAAUAAGAUGAAAAAAAAAAAAUCCAUAGUGUUUUAGCUAAAACAGAUGGAUGAAUCAGUAUGCGAGCAAUGAUGGUCAGUACUUUGUUAAUAUAAAAAGGCGAGAGCAACUCCCUAGUUUAGGCGAGAACAAUAGUGGAGGAAGACAAAUACUCCUAUAGUUGACAAUAGGGAGCAACACCCACAUCGAGAAACGGUAAAGGGCGGGAUCGUAUAAAUAAGAAAGCACGUGCAGAUAGGUCACGACCUUACUUGAACAGGAUCUGUUCUAUAGGAUCGUACCUCUGUGUCCUUGACUUCUAAGGAGACAGGAAUCUAAACCUGGUUGAUGAAUCAUGGCCAUGCGAUCAGAGCGUGAUUA